rnacentral:rRNA from 1 species
UACGUAGGGGGCUAGCGUUGCCCGGAAUCAUUGGGCGUAAAGAGCGUGUAGGCGGUCCGGUAAGUCCGCUGUGAAAGUCGGGGGGCUCAACCCUCGAAUGCCGGUGGAUACUGUCGGGCUAGAGUGCGGAAGAGGCGAGUGGAAUUCCUGGUGUAGCGGUGAAAUGCGCAGAGUAUCAGGAGGAACACCGGUGGCGAAGGCGGGUCUCUGGGCAACAACGUGACGCUGGAGGAGCGAAAGCGUGGGGAGCAAACAGG